rnacentral:rRNA from 1 species
AUUGAACGCUGGCGGCAGGCUUAACACAUGCAAGUCGAGCGGGGUGAUGGUGCUUGCACUAUCACUUAGCGGCGGACGGGUGAGUAAUGCUUAGGAAUCUGCCUAUUAGUGGGGGACAACAUCUCGAAAGGGAUGCUAAUACCGCAUACGUCCUACGGGAGAAAGCAGGGGAUCACUUGUGACCUUGCGCUAAUAGAUGAGCCUAAGUCGGAUUAGCUAGUUGGUGGGGUAAAGGCCUACCAAGGCGACGAUCUGUAGCGGGUCUGAGAGGAUGAUCCGCCACACUGGGACUGAGACAGGGCCCAGACUCCUGCGGGAGGCAGCAAUGGGGAAUAUUGGACAAUGGGGGGGGCCCUGAUCCAGCCAUGCCGCGUGUGUGAAGAAGGCCUUAUGGUUGUAAAGCACUUUAAGCGAGGAGGAGGCUCUUUUGGUUAAUACCCAAGAUGAGUGGACGUUACUCGCAGAAUAAGCACCGGCUAACUCUGUGCCAGCAGCCGCAGUAA